GGCGGCGGCGGCUGCGGCGGCGAGGCUGAGCAAUGUGAGGCGACCGCCUGGGAAGGGGAGGUGCCUGCACUGUGCUCUUGGGGGUGUGGCAAACAUGGUCCCACGUGGGGAGUGAAGGUCGAGGGGGGCGGAGUUAGCUCUCUUGCGGUCCGCUUGUCUCCACCGCCCACCCUUGGCGGAGAAAAAGCGGGUCGUUCUUUUCCUCCCCCGCGCCGGAGCACCAGGUAUGUAUGUGGAUUCUGACCAGAGUUUAUAUAAUUGACACAAGAAUUACCAAACCUGCAGGAGCAAAUUCUACUUUGAAACAAGGAUUGGACAUACAUCAAAAUAUCCAACAGUUGUGGAAAAAUAUCAUGUGAGUGAGGGUCAAUUAUAAUAUUGGGUCACACUAAAAAUGGCAACUAAACUACUGAGAUUCCUAAAUAAUUUCCCUCACAAAAUAUGCCAGUGCCAACACCUUCAUAAAUACGGGUUUUUAGCAUCAAAAUAUCCUCAAGGGAGAUCAAGCAAUUCUCUCUCUGCAAACAGAUUUAUCCGUCUGUGCAUUCCAAAGGCAACUGCUUCUUGCUUAACUAAUGCUGGUGUGCAAGCCAAGAAUUGGCAGAGACCACAAGCUGUUAUUACAACUGCAGCAAAGACUGUGAAUGACUUGAAUAUGGGUUUUUAUCCUCCAUCCAAGGAAAGAUUCUGUACUCUUAGACCUGCAAGUUACAAGUACAAUUCAAAGUGUGUUAGAAAACUUAUUGAUAUACCAAGUAGACAUUAUUCAGUUUUAUCAACUGGUAAAACUAUGCCAGAUCAAAGUAUUGUGCCAGUUAAAAGACCACCAAAGGCAUCUAGGACCAAGCAGCCAUCUAGAGCUAAUCUACCAUUACCAUCUGAAACUGAGGAUCUGAUGCAGUGCACAGCCUUUGCAACAGCAGAUGAAUAUCAUCUUGGUAACCUAUGCCAUGACCUAAUGUCAUAUGGAUAUGUUGAAAUAACAUCGUUACCUAGAGAUGCCGCAAAUGUUUUGGUUAUUGGCACAGAAAACUCAGCAAAACAAUAUGAUCCUGGGAUGAUUUUUUUCUUCAGGGAAGGGUCUGUGGUGUUCUGGAACGUUGAAGAGAAAACGGUGAAGAAUAUAAUGCAGGUGCUGGAAAGGCAUGAAAUUCAACCUUAUGAAGUUGCACUAAUUCAUUGGGAGAAUGAAGAGAUUAACUACAGGAGGGGAGAAGGGCAGUCGAAGCUUCACAGAGGAGAAAUUCUGAUAAAUUCACAACUGGAUACUGAUGAAGUCACUCUAGAGAAGUUUGCCUUUUCAAACGCUCUUUGCCUUUCUGUAAAACUGGCCAUUUGGGAAGCAUCAUUGGAUAACUUUGUAGAAUCCAUCCAGUCAAUACCAGAGAGACUUAAAUCAAGAAGAAAGGUGAAACUCUCUCAUGCUGAUGUAAUGCAGAAAAUUGGGGAACUGUUUGCCUUAAGGCACCACAUAAAUCUAAGUUCGGACUUGCUGAUUACUCCAGAUUUCUAUUGGGAUAGAGAACACCUUGAACAGCUUUAUGAUAAAACCUGUCAGCUUCUCAGUAUUAAUCGCAGAGUUAAGGUGGUGAAUGAAAAGCUUCAGCACUGCACAGAGCUGACAGACCUGAUGCGAAAUCACUUGAGUGAAAAACAUGCCCUGCGCUUGGAGUGGAUGAUUGUGGUACUGAUCACCAUAGAGAAGUCGAGUGACUUGGCAGAAGUCAAUGCCACCUCUUCCUUGGUAUUGUCACCAGUCUCCUUCCUUUACUGUGUAUCUGGUGGAGCAAGGGAAGUGGGAAGAUGCUCCUGCUAUUUUCCUAUAAAUAACAUUUAAAAAUCUUGGAAUACCUCCUUGUGUGUUGAUCUCUGCAUCCUGAGCAAAUGGUCAGGUCAUGUUUGAGCUUGGCAGAGUGAUUUUCUGAGAACUAUAGUGAAUGACAACUGUGAAGUAUGGGUGACAAGACUGUGGAGACCAUUCUAACAAUUUUGUUUGGAUUUCAGCUUUAUUCUUCACACUUUGGGAUAGUGCAGUAACUGUCACAAUAAAAUGCCCAGACUCUUGCUGCUUAUGAAAAGUUUUAAGUCAUUGAUGUUAGGCUAAAGUUUAAAUCAGUGGCUGUUGUGUCUAGGAAAUCAUGGUUUAGAAUAAAUCAGUUUUUGUUUAGGAUAUUUUAAAUUCUUUUUUUUUUUUUAAAGAAGAUUAUGAGACUGGUUUACCAAGGGUGCAUCCCACCUGGAGUUUCAUCUGCUAUGCUAAAGGGAUUCCCAGUGACCCAGUACAAUCUGUGCCAAAUUCAAAGUUUGAUCUUAUGAAAAUUGUGCCUCAUUAAAGGGGUACACUUUGUGUGAUCAUGAUCUUUAGAAUCAAGUGAAGUUUUUCCUAGAUUGUACACAGCAGGGGUGGAUGUAGGUUGUACACAGGAAAAUAGCAUGCUGGGGUGAAGGGGAGGCUGGACCCUUCUCUCUGAUAUGUGUAUGUAUGAGUUCCUGAAACAUUCAAGCAUUCGCAUUAACUCCCUCAUCUUCAGCCUGAAGUAGCAAAACUCCAGGAAGAACAUUUCUAUAUAUUCUGUUGAGUGUAUAAACUGAUUCUCAGACUGAGCCAGAAGCAGGUUUUCUAACUGAACCCAGACCAAGAAGUGGUUCAAAUGAGAACUAAAUCUCUAAACUCAUGUCCCAUUAAAAAGUUCAAAAUAAGUGCUUACUGAAGCCCAAGAGGUUCUUUUGAGGAUGUUGAAAGGGAGGGAGAAAAACACCAUCUCUGAGCCAUGAGAUAUUCAAGAGACUAUUCCCUAGGAAACUGUUGGAUAAGGGAGAUGAGAAGGUUCUGAGAGUCUCAUUUUUCCUAUACUUAUCAUCUUACCCUCAAGUACAAACUGCUUCUUUCAACAACAACAAAAAGCACAAAGACGUAGCUGCUUCACCUAGACUAUGGACAAAAGUGGAAUUACCAAAAACUUCAGUUCAAGUGAUAAACAGAGUAGCUGACUCACACAGGAAUUGGUCCUACUUGAAUUAUUUCUGAUUAAUUUAAUAACAAUUAAAGCAAGGAUACAAGAAUUCUCUUACUAGAAAAGACCAAGGUCAAGUAGUACAUAAACUCAUAGGUGGAUAUGAAAGCAAUGACUAUGUACUGUUUUGUCCCCAGCAAGCUGCCUCUGGGCAUGGAGUUUGUGUGUAACCAUUACAAGUAGUAGCUGAGAGAAGUGAAACAUUGUUCUCUAGUCCUUUCCUACCCAAACUAAUGAAUACCAUCUUAGCUGGUGGUUAUGUAUUACAGCUCCUCCUUUGAUGUCUAAGGCCUAAUAUGAAAGGGGAACAAAUUCUAUCUGCCUUCAAUAAUUGUUCAUUCUUCAUGUUUUGUUCCAGGCAGAAUGAAAAAUUGAAUUAGUUAUAAAAUUUCAUACACUUCUCCCUCUACCUUUAUAUAAUAUACAGAUACUUCCAUAGUGCAAGUGUUUUCAUUUGGAAACAAGAUAUUACAAUAAUUACAUAGUCUUUUCUCAUAGAAAGGUACCCUUUAUCACUUUAUAUGUUUCAUUUUUUGAGAUAAGAUGACCAGAACUCACAGUACUCCAAAGGGGACUGCUCCACAGAUUUAUAUAAUGGCAUCAUGCUUGUUGCAGUUCAUUCUUAGAGAUGAAAGAAAUAAAAAUGCAUUAAACCAA